AGAACACUCUCAGGACCUCCCUGAGGCAGGGCGGGGUGGGGGGGGGGUGCUCCCAGAAUUCCGCAGUCAGUGCCUCCAAUUCAAGUACUGGGACCCCCAGGUGAUUCCCCUCCAUCAGGCCUGGUGUGCCCUCACUUGGUGCUGCAGCCUAAAAAAUGAGAGAGGCAGGUGCUUAUUUUGUCCCACUCAAUAGACAAGGAGCGGAUUACUGCCGUAAACACCCUCAUUCAGGAAAAGAACAGAGACUUCCCAGUCACUGACUCACAAGGACACUUGGACCUGCAGGGCAGCAACCUCAGCCUGGACUUGGGGGAGCCCUGGUCCGACUCCAGGGCUCCUUUCCAGAAGGGACUCCAAGGACUCAAUUUUUCUGACAGCUCUCCAUCUUCCCUCUUCGGAGUUCUUUCUUUUCCUAAGUAGGUUCCCUUAGUUGAACCAGGUGUUGGGGAUCUGUCUGCGUAACUUUGGAUCCCACUUUCUACCUAUGACCCAGUCAAAGAUGUUGCAGAUGAGCUGCUUUUGCUAGGGUUACUGAAUCAUGAGGCUUACAAUCUGCCUCCAAAGGCAUUGCAGGUUUUCCAUUUUUAAGUAUCACUUCUCAGCCCAGGAUGGAGGACAGAAACAGUGCUACAAGAAACAGAAACAAAGAGCACCUGGCCGGUAUUCCAUGAUGACAACAAGAGAAUACUCAGGGAGGGAGGAAGGCAAGGCAAAAGGACUCGAUCUUCUGUUUUUCUUUUGCCUGGUUUAUCCAACGCCUUAGGCAGCAAGCACCAAUCUAACAUUCAGCUUGGCAUUGUUUUAAGCACAAAUCUUUGCUUAAGCAAUGAGUGUUCCUUGUAGGUUUUGAAUAUGAACACAUUAGUAGGAGUGCAUUUAUUUUAACUCAUUUGAUGAUGAGUUUACUGGAAGCCGAGGAUCUGGUGUCUGUGAAAACCUUAGAAAAUGAUUUGCAAUAACUCUUCAGAUGAAUGCAAAUACAUGAAAAGAAAAGCAGUUGAAGGUCGUCCCACAAAGAGCCAGCACAAGCAGCGACCAUUAAGAACAGGCAUCUAUUUUAAUUUCUCAGGUGUGCGUUGAUGAGGAGAAUUAGAACUGUUUUAAUUGCUAAUCUCUCAGAGGAAGGAACACACCAUGUUAAUUAAAUUCACUGAUGAUAGAAAAAGUGGGGGUGGAUUAAUCACUUCUAAUGGCAGAACAAUUUUCUUUAAAAGCCAGCUUUACAAAUAAGAACUGGAAUUCACCAAAAGAGAACUCUGCUCUUAAAGAAUGUGCAUGUGCACGUGCGUGUGCACACACACACACAGCCUAACUACCCACGGAGCAUAAAUUGCAAGCUGUACACUUUUUAAAUCAUUUCAAGAGGUGCAAUAACCACCCCAGAACGGCAUCUCUAAUUCACUUUCUGAGCAAAGAUGUAGCAAGUACUUGCUACAUGCACAAAGCUGCAGUAUGAAUAAUAAAAGAAAUUAAAUAAA